AGGCCUAACACAUGCAAGUCGAACGGUAACAGGAAGCAGCUUGCUGCUUCGCUGACGAGUGGCGGACGGGUGAGUAAUGUCUGGGAAACUGCCUGAUGGAGGGGGAUAACUACUGGAAACGGUAGCUAAUACCGCAUAAUGUCGCAAGACCAAAGAGGGGGACCUUCGGGCCUCUUGCCAUCGGAUGUGCCCAGAUGGGAUUAGCUUGUUGGUGGGGUAACGGCUCACCAAGGCGACGAUCCCUAGCUGGUCUGAGAGGAUGACCAGCCACACUGGAACUGAGACACGGUCCAGACUCCUACGGGAGGCAGCAGUGGGGAAUAUUGCACAAUGGGCGCAAGCCUGAUGCAGCCAUGCCGCGUGUAUGAAGAAGGCCUUCGGGUUGUAAAGUACUUUCAGCGGGGAGGAAGGGAGUAAAGUUAAUACCUUUGCUCAUUGACGUUAUCCGCAGAAGAAGCACCGGCUAACUCCGUGCCAGCAGCCGCGGUAAUACGGAGGGUGCAAGCGUUAAUCGGAAUUACUGGGCGUAAAGCGCACGCAGGCGGUUUGUUAAGUCAGAUGUGAAAUCCCCGGGCUCAACCUGGGAACUGCAUCUGAUACUGGCAAGCUUGAGUCUCGUAGAGGGGGGUAGAAUUCCAGGUGUAGCGGUGAAAUGCGUAGAGAUCUGGAGGAAUACCGGUGGCGAAGGCGGCCCCCUGGACGAAGACUGACGCUCAGGUGCGAAAGCGUGGGGAGCAAACAGGAUUAGAU
rnacentral:rRNA from 1 species